CCAGCAGCCGCGGUAAUUCCAGCUCCAAUAGCGUAUAUUAAAGUUGUUGCAGUUAAAAAGCUCGUAGUUGGACCUUAGGCAAGGCGGCCUGGUCGCCCUCUGGGUGUACUGGGAUCGCUGCGCCUCACCUUCGGGGAGCUAGUCGUGCUUCGGUGCGCUAGGGAACCGAGCCUUACCUUGAGGAAAUUAGAGUGUUUAAAGCAGGCUUAUGCUUGAAUACGUUAGCAUGGAAUAACAUGAUAGGACUUUGGUUCUAUUUUGUUGGUUUGAGGACCAAAGUAAUGAUUGAUAGGGAUAGUUGAGGUCGCUUGUAUUCAGUGGUUAGAGGUGAAAUUCUAUGACCCACUGAG
rnacentral:rRNA from 1 species